GGGGAACCUGCGGAGGGAUCAUUACACAARYAUKRAGGCGGGCUGGAACCUCUCGGGGUUACAGCCUUGCUGAAUUAUUCACCCUUGUCUUUUGCGUACUUCUUGUUUCCUUGGUGGGUUCGCCCACCACUAGGACAAACAUAAACCUUUUGUAAUUGCAAUCAGCGUCAGUAACAAAUUAAUAAUUACAACUUUCAACAACGGAUCUCUUGGUUCUGGCAUCGAUGAAGAACGCAGCGAAAUGCGAUAAGUAGUGUGAAUUGCAGAAUUCAGUGAAUCAUCGAAUCUUUGAACGCACAUUGCGCCCUUUGGUAUUCCAAAGGGCAUGCCUGUUCGAGCGUCAUUUGUACCCUCAAGCUUUGCUUGGUGUUGGGCGUCUUGUCUCUAGCUUUGCUGGAGACUCGCCUUAAAGUAAUUGGCAGCCGGCCUACUGGUUUCGGAGCGCAGCACAAGUCGCACUCUCUAUCAGCAAAGGUCUAGCAUCCAUUAAGCCUUUUUUUCAACUUUUGACCUCGGAUCAGGUAGGGAUACCCGCYGAACUUAAGCAUAUCAAUAACGCGGAGGAA
rnacentral:rRNA from 1 species